rnacentral:rRNA from 1 species
CACGCCGUAAACGAUGAGUACUAGGUGUAGGGGGUAUCGACCCCCCCUGUGCCGCAGUAAACACAAUAAGUACUCCGCCUGGGAAGUACGAUCGCAAGAUUAAAACUCAAAGGAAUUGACGGGGACCCGCACAAGCAGCGGAGCAUGUGGUUUAAUUCGAAGCAACGCGAAGAACCUUACCAGAACUUGACAUGGCGGAUAAUGCUGCAGAAAUGCAGAGAUAAUACCCGCACACAGGUGG